ACUACUGUACCUUGUAUUGAUUGCAUGCAACUGUAGUCUGUCAUAUACAUCAAACAACAAAACAGAUGGUUCCUGCUGACAGGAUAUUUAUAGUCGUCAGAUUUCCUGUGUAAUAAAUCCAUACAUA